rnacentral:ncRNA from 1 species
AAUUUAAUUUAAAAUAAUGAUUUAGCUUAAUAUAAAAAAUUAUAUAAUUAAACUAUUAUAAUGGAAAUAAAAGUAUAUCUCCAGUAAAAAAUAUUAAAAAAUAAUGAAAAUUAAUUUUAAAUUCUAAUUAAUUUUUGGAUAAAUAAAGUGCCAGCAAUCGCGGUCAUACUUUAAUAAAAUUUUUAAAAUUAAUUAAUAUUUAAAUAAAAGAAAAUAAAAAAACACUUAAAAGUAAAAUUCAAUUUUUUUGAAACUUAUUUUUUCUCAAAAAUAAAAACAAAUUUAAUAUAAAAACUAGGAUUAGAUACCCUACUAUUCUAAAUUUACACAUUAAAUAUUGAGUAUUCCUAUAAUAAUUAUAUAAACUCUAAAAGUUAUGGCGGCUAAAAUAAAAAAACAGGGGAACUUACCACAUCAAAGAUAACCAUCUAGUAAUCUAAUAUUUUUAAAAAGUCUGUAUGCCGUCGUCAAAAAAUAAAAUUUAUUAUUUUAUUUAAAAAAUUAAGAUUCAUUAUAUAAAAUUUAUAUGACAGAUCAAGGUGCAACCAAUAAAAAUGAGGUAGGCGAGUUACAAUAGUAAAAAACUUACCAUAAAUAUUAAUGAAUAAUUUUAUAAGGGUUGGACUUGAAUGUAAUUGUUAAAUAAGUAUUAAAUCUUGAAUAUUAUUUAUUUUAGUGCACAAAUCGCCCGUCACUCUCGUUGAACAUUAAUAUUAUUUAUUAUUAAUUAAAAGGAGAUAAGUCGUAACAAAGUAAGAAUAGUGGAAACUGUUCUUUUCUUAAU